UCAUUUUAUGCACAUUUUCACAAAGGGGCCAUUUUGCUUUGACUUUUUUCUUUGACAAUGAAUCGACAGCACUACAAUAAACAGCAGCAGGGAAUGAAAAGUUCUCAGCCGAAGAAAGACGACCAACUUAAAGUGAAACAUGAAACACAGACGCCGAGUAAACCGUCGGCGGACUCUAAUCAGGAGCAGAAAGAGUCGAAAACCCCACAAAAUGUGAACAACAAACCGAGUCCCCGUGGCGGUGGUGGCGGUGGUGGUGGUGGUGGUGGUGGAGGUGGAGGGUCUAAUCACAGUAACCAGGAUAGGUUUCAGCACCACAACCGUGGCCCUAACAGUCAAAACAGAGGGGGUCAGAAUCGUCCACCUAGACAUCAACACUUUGAAAAAGAACGAGGUCAAGAUUCCAAUAGGGUUAAGAGCGAGCCAAACGCAGAAGCUUCAGGUGACCCCAAGAAAUUCACAGGAAGAUGUCGAUUAUUCGUUGGAAAUCUGGCCCCAGAGAUGACAGAAGAUGAUUUCAAACAACUUUUUGAACCAUUUGGAGAUGUAUCUGAAGUUUAUGUCAAUCCUUCCCGCAGUUUCGGAUUCAUUCGACUGGAUUUCCGGCACAAUGCAGAGGCUGCCAAGGUUGCUCUUGAUGGAAAAACCCAGAAUGGUAGAACACUACGAGUUCGUUUUGCAACUCAUGGUGCCGCUCUCAAAGUGACAAAUCUGCAUCCAUAUGUCUCCAAUGAGCUGCUGAAUGAUGCCUUUUCUCAGUUUGGAGAGCUGGAGAGAGCUAUUGUAAUAGUCGACGACCGAGGCAAGUCCACCGGAGAGGGGAUCGUUGAGUUUGUGAGGAAACCAGGAGCUCAGCAGGCCCUUAGGAGAAUUAAUGAAGGAGUCUUCCUGCUAGGAUCGUCACCACGUCCGGUGAUUGUAGAGCCCUUGGAACAGAAGGAUGAGGAAGAUGGAAUGCCAGAAAAAUUCAUAAACAAAAAUGAUCAGUAUAAGAAGGAAAGGGAACAAGAGCCGCGGUUUGCUCACCCUGGAACGUUUGAGUACGAGUUUGGUCUGCGCUGGCGUCAGAUCGAGGAGCUUGAGAAGGAGCGCCACGAGCUGGUGAGGAAGGAGACUGAGGAGGCCCGACUGAAGCUGGAGGAGGAGAUGCAGAGUGCGCUGUACGAGUACCAGGCUGAACAGAUCAGACAAGAUUUGAUGCGACAACAAGAGGAGUUGCGACGUCUUGAAGAGCACAGACAACAAGACAUGAUUCGCCGGCACCAGGAGAUGGAAAUGAGACAGCGUCAACAGGAACAUCUGCGUAAAGAGGACGAGCAACGUCGACAACAGAUGUUCAUGAUGGCUCACCGAUUGGACGGGUCUGGACCGUGGGGACCGUCUGGCCAUGAUGACAUCAUGUCGCAGGGUGGAAUGCGUGAAGGGCAGGGUCCACGAUCUGGCCGAGAGAACUCUGCACCUCUUCCUCCUCCCCCGGCGCCACCUGUUGGCAUGGGCAUCGACAGAAACCGACAGAACCAGAUGCAGGGUGGCAAUAUGGGACCUGGUUUCUCAGGGAACAUGGGUGAGGGAAAGAUGGGCGGAGGACCAAACCUGGAGAACCAGGGCAAGGCUGGCAGUGGUUCAGGAAACAUGGCUGCUAUGAAUCAAAACCAAAUGAUAUUGGUUAGAGCGUAGAAUAGUGAAGGAGAAACCAGAAUCCAGAUGAAUGCCAAAGUUACCAGGUGUAAUCAGUUUGGAUGACAGACUUUCAGCUCUAGCAUGUGAUGGGUAGGAAUGACAGCCCUGGAAGACUCGUAUCAAGCAUGGAAUGCUAGUGCAGAUGAUCAUGGUUAACAUUUCACAAUGUGUAGACUGUUGGAUGUUGCAGACCUGAGUAUACACUAUCAGAAAUGGUUCCUGAGAGAUGUUUAAAUGUUUUGCAGACUGUUGGAUGUUGCAAACCUGAGCAUACCCUAUCAGAAAUGGUUCCUCGGAGAUGUUUAAAUGUUUUGCAGACAGUUAGAUGUUGCAGAUCUGAGCAUACAGUAUCAGAAAUGGUUCCUCGGAGAUGUUUAAAUGUUUUGCAGACUGUUGGAUGUUGCAGACCUGAGCAUACACUAUCAAAAAAUUGUUCCUCAGAGAUGUUCAAAUCGGCUCAAAUACUGGAACAGCUAUUGUCUGGUAGUGAUGACGUUCACACAAAUUCCCACCACUGACAUACAAGUGAUGAACAUCAGGCCUUUCCCCAGGAAUUUUUUAAGGCGCUUACAUAUAUAGCAUCAUUAUAACACAAAAAUCAAGCCAAAAGAAGUGGGGUAGUGGGUUGAAAACAGUUAAGUGGGUUUUUUUGGUGGGG